rnacentral:rRNA from 1 species
AGCAGCCGCGGUAAUUCCAGCUCCAAUAGCGUAUAUUAAAGUUGUCGCAGUUAAAAAGCUCGUAGUUGAAUUUCGGGGUUUAUCCGUUGGUCGGGCUUUUGGGUCUGUACUGGCGUGAUGGAUUCCUACCUUCUGAAUAACCAGCAUGCCAUUAAUUUGGUGCGUUGGGGAAGCAGGACUGUUACCUUGAAAAAAUUAGAGUACUUAAAGCAGGCUAUUGCCUGAAUACAUUAGCAUGGAAUAAUGAAAUAGGACGCAUGGUUCUAUUUUGUUGGUUUCUAGGAUCACCGUAAUGAUUAAUAGGGAUAGUUGGGGGCAUUAGUAUUCAAUUGUCAGAGGUGAAAUUCUUGGAUUUAUUGAAGACUAACUUCUGCGAAAGCAUUUGCCAAGGAUGUUUUCAUUAAUCAAGAACGAAAGUUAGGGGAUCGAAGACGAUCAGAUACCGUCGUAGUCUUAACCAUAAACUAUACCGACCAGGGAUCGGACGAUGUUAAUUUUUUAAUGACUCG